rnacentral:rRNA from 1 species
UACCCGCCUUCUCGAGUGGUGACCAUUAUUAUUGAGUCUAAAGCGUUCGUAUCUGGUUUGGAUAGUUCGUGCUUAAAUCUUUCCGUUUAACGAGAAGACAUGGUGUGAAUACUUCCAGACUAGAGGCCGGGAGAGGGGCUGGGAACUUUUCAGGUAGGAGUAAAAUCCUUUAAUCUGAAAAAGACCACCAGUGGCGAAGGCGCAGCCCCAGAACGGACCUGACGGUGAGGGACGAAGGCUAGGAGAACAAACCGGAUUAGAUACCCGGGUAGCCCUAGCAGUAAACGCUGCUUACUAUACGUUGCAUUUCCCUGAGGAAAUGCAGUGUGACAGCGAAGGCGUUAAGUAAGCCACUUGGGGAGUAUAAUCGCAAGGUCGAAACUUAAAGGAAUUGGCGGGGGAGCACAAAAACGGGUGAAAUUUGCGGUUCAAUUGGAUUCAACUCCGGGAAUCUUACCAGAGGCGACAGCAAGAUGAAAGCCAGUCUGAAGAACUUGCUUAAUGCGCUGAAAGGUGUUGCAUGGCCAUCAUCAGUUAGUAUCUUGAGACGUCCCGUUAAGUCGGGUAACUAACAAGACCCUCUUCCAUAUUUACUAACGUACGAUCCGUCGGGAACGAGUAAAAUAUGGAGACAGCUUUCGAAAGAAAGAGGAAGGCGAGGGCGACGGUAGGUCAGUAUGACCCCUAAUCCUCUGGGCUACACGCGAAUUGCAAUGGUAAAGGCAGAGGGAAGCAACUCCGAAAGGAGAAGCAAAUCCUAUAAUCUUUACCCUAGUUCGGAUCGAGGUCUGUAACUCGGCCUCGUGAACGUCGGAAUCCGUAGUAACCGCGUUUCAACAAAGCGCGGUGAAUACUUUCCUGCUCCAG